ACCCUGGGGUAAGGGGAGAGCAGGAGCAUCAGCUCUCUUUAUGGGCUCACUGGACCCCAGGGUCAGCAAACCCAGUUUUAAAAAGGGGACCUUGACACAGAGCUUGGCUUGAUGUAAUGAAAUAAUUCUUCUUUAUAUAUAUUUCUUGUGUGUGUGUGUAAAUAUAUAUAUAUAUAUUUCUUGUAUAUAUAUAUUUCUCUUUUAUGGAUAAGUUGGAACUCUGUUUUGAUUAGGUUGGCUGUAAGUGGAAAUAAACAGUGGCUUAAAUAAGGUUGACAUUCUCUCUCUCAUAGGAUUGUAGAGGUUGUCGGUCCUGAGUUGAUGCAGAGCACCUAUGAUGUCAGUGACUCAGGCCCCUUCUUGAGUGUGGCUUUACCAUUCUUAGCAUGUGGACUUCACGUCGUGGUCCACGAAGGCUGCUCCUGCCAGGUGUCUGCUAGUCUAGUCAGCAUAUAGAAGGAAGGGACAAAGAGAGGCACAUUCCCUCAUUCUAGAGACACGUCCCAGAAGUUACCCAAACCACUUCUCCUCGCAUCCCUUUGGUCAGACUUUAGUCAUGGGGCCCUACAUAGCUGCAAAGAAGGCUGGGAAAUAUGAUCUUUUUCCUGGGUGGAUGAGUGCCUGGCUAAAAUCCGUGAGUUCCUAUUACAGAAGGGAGUGGUGGGAAAUGGAUACUAAGGGACAACCAUCAGCCUCUGCUACAAGUUUAUCACCUCUUUUCCUAAGGGACUGAAUACCCCAAAACCAGAGGGUACGGUCAUGUUCUUUGUGGGCAGACAAGUCUCUCCUUUAAGGGGGUGAUGAUUCCUUGUGAAAAUUGUUGAGAACGCUUAAGUACAAGAGAGAAAAUCAAUGUGAAAGAUAUGCCAGAAACAUACCAUUGUCUCUCUGGGUCUCUUUCUGAGGGUUGGAACUCAGAGCAUCUGCAUGAACUGAAUAGGACUUCUGGGUGGGGGAAAUGGCCACACAGAGAGGGGCCUCCCAUAGGGUGUUCCUCGCUGAAGAGUAAACCUCACUUUCUGAAGGUGAUCUAACUCCUGUUGUUCUUAAUGUUUAUUUCCAUUUUGCCAUCCCUUGAGACCCAGGGAAAGUCUUGUUAAGUGCCUGUGUCUGGUCAUAGCUAUGCCAUGUGGAAUUAUAAGACAGGGUAUCUUUGCAUGUUUGAAUGCAGGUUCCAUCAGGGCAGGACCCUCUUCUGUUACAUAACGGCUCAGUGAUGAUGAAAGGCACGUAUGAGCAUGGACUGCUUCCACAGCAGUCUGCGUCUGCUGCUUUCCUCCUUUAGCACCGUCUGGCGGCCCUUCUCUGUGACGAUGACUUAGACGCAAGUUACGUGUCUGGUUUAGUAUUGAAUCCCUAAUGCCAGACACACAAGAAACACUCAGUGAUGGAAUUGAAUGAACCCAACACGCAAAACCCUUCAUAGUCCAGUCCUAGCAUAUGUUCGAGUCUAUUCCCUUAGCUUAGACUUUAGUUAGAAUCUGGCCUUGACUAAUAACCACAGCAAUGUUGAUAAUUAUCAUGCCUUGAGUAUAUAACACGUUCCAGGUAUUUUAUAUGCAUGGACUUAUCUAAUCCUUGUAGAAUCCUGUCAGGUGCAUGUAAUUAUUAUCCCCAGUUGUCUGAUGAGGAAAUUCGGUUCAGAGGGGUGCAAUACCUUGCCGAAGGUCACAUGGCCAGCAAGGACUUGAAGCCAGGCAGUCUGCCCAGACCCUUAGCCAUUCACAGCCACCCCCUUUUUCAUGCCUGUGUUUCAGAGGCAGACUCACUCUUUCCAAUCUGAGAGCCUGGCCUCUGUUGGAAUGCCUUUCCCCAAUUUCUGGCUCUAGCAGACUCUACUUACCCUUUAAAGUACUGCCCAGAUUUCACCCCUGACCCCACCUGCUUCUCCAAACAGGGAGGGAGGCUUCCCUCUCUCCUCUUUGCCCUUUUACUAGUUGCUCCCAACUCUGGCCUGGAAGCGCUCCUGAAACAGGGACCAUGUCUCAUGCUUUGGUAUCCCCAGCCCUCAGCACAGUACCUAUAUGUGGAAGGUCCUUCAUUCAUGUUUGUGGAAGUAAGUAACUGACCCCACUCUUUCAUACACAAGGAAACAAAUGCAUGAAGUGGGGAGACCUGCCUGCAUCACAAAGCAAGUAAGAAAAGAGCCAAGGCCAGACUCCAAGAUUCCUGAUUCCCAGCCCUGCCAUCUCGUAACCUGCUGUCUAUGCAUGAACAUUUGAAAGAGCCUUCAUGCAUUUUAAACCUGUCUUAAUUCUGUCUUACAUCUCACCCCAAAGAGGACUUCUUUGAGAAUGCUGGUGGGAGAGUGAGUUUUGGCAAGUCUUAUUGGGAAGUCAUGAGGCAACAGGGAAAAACAGACAAACAAUCUGGGGUGUAUUUUGCUGACCCAGUCCUCAAAAACAGCAGGACAAAACACUUGAAACUCAAGCUGGGGCCUCUGGCCAGCAGGGCACCAAGUCAACUUGGACGAAAAGAAGAAAUACUUUCUGGUUUGUCUGGAUUUUCUUUAAGGCAAAGCAAAAAAAUACCAAAAAUUUCACAAGGUCCUAGAAACUUCCAAAUGCAAAUAAGUUCUGGGUACUUAUCUUGCCCCAUCUCAUGUCACACGAAUCCUCUGUGUCUCAAGAAAUGAAAUUCCCCUCACCCUCUGGUCACAAAAAGGUGAUGGAAGAGCUGAUAAACAUUAAUCACAGUUGGAAAAAGCAGAGAAAUCAUUAAGGAAACAUCAAAGUUCUUUUAUUAACUGUCAACUCAAGACUUCUGUAUAGAUGGUAACGUGGUGGUGAGAGCACACACUUGUAAGACAGCAGAUCAGGGUAGGAAACCUGGUCCUAAUAUUUAUUUAACAGCAGUGUUACUUUGAGAAAGUUAAUUACCUUCUCUGAGACUCAGUUUCAUCUUUUGAAAAACUGGUUAUAGUACAUAUCACAUAGUAUUGUUGUGAGGAUCAAGUGAGAUAAUGCAAGUACAGAGCUCAGCAUCAUGCCUGAUACAUAACGAGUGCUUUGUUGUUAUUAGCUAUUAUCAUUACGUGUACAUGAUGUCCUUUAUGGCUGAAAUGCCCUUUCUUGCCUUGUCUGUUUAGGAAACUUCUCAUCCUUUGGGUCCCAUCAUGAGGGUGUCCUCCUCGAUGAUAUUAUCUUUGACUGGCCCCUGUUUCCUCUCCAACAUGGUCCCUAGUUCCCUCAGCUCCCCCUCAUUCUUCUCACCUUUGCCCUUCUAACAUAGCAGUGAUCUCAUGAUGAAGAAAUCAUUUGUUUCUUUGCCUGUCUUCCCCAGUGGGCACUGACAGUCAGAAGGACAGGCUCAGGUCUGUGCCCUGAGUCCCAACAGUACCUGACCUGCAAGAGGCUUAGGAAAUCACAUGUACAUCCUUAGAUUAGAAACACCAGGAGGUUGGGACAUGGAGGGUGGCCAAGAAGGCAGAGUAGGAAGACCCUGAGUUCUCCUCUAACAGUCACACCGAAAUUACAAUUCCUUACAGAGCAACUAUUGAUGAGAAAGAUGGGCAGAAAAGAUCUUCUACAACUAAAGACAUAAAGAAUCACAAUGAGAUGGGUAGGAGAGGUGGAGACACAGGAUAGUCAAGACCUAUACCCCUGGGUGAGGGACCCACAAAGGGGAGGGUAAUUACAGUUGCAGAGGUUCUUUCCAAAGAUCGGUAUAGUGGGCUCCCCAACCCAGGGGUCCUACACCAGGACUGUGAGCCCCCAAAACAUUUGUCUUUGAAGGCCUGUAGGACUUACUUUUGGGAUAGCCAGAGGGCUGUGGGAAAUAGAGACGACACUUUUAAAGGAUGUGCACAAAAUCUUGCACACUCUGGGACCCAGAACAGAAGCAGUAGUUUGAAAGGAGACUGGGUCAGACCCACCUUAUGCUCUUGGAGAGCCUCCCAGAGAGUCAGGAGGAAACUGGAGCUCAGCCUGGGAACCUAGACACUGGCACUAGCUAUUUGGGAGCCUGUUCUACCAUGAGAACAUUGCUACUGGCAAGCUCCAUUUUGGAAUCCUCCUCCUAGCUUAUUAAUGCUUGGACCCACUGAACACCAGCAGGCCAGCAUCAACCCUGUGACCCUCUGGAUCCCAGCCCCAUCCACUAGUAGGCCAAUACCAUCGCUGAGACGUCUUGGGCCCCUUAACCAGCUGCCCCAUGAUCUGGUGCCACCCACCAGUGGGCUGACACAAGCUACAGGACACCCCAGACCCUGCAGCCAGCUGUGUUGGGAACUGGCCCUACCCACCAAUGAGCUGACACCAGCUUUGGGGACCCCAGGGUCCUGCAGCCAGAGACUUCAAGUACCUGGCUCUCUGCCCACCUGUGGUUAGACACUAGCUCUGCAAUUUCCCCAGGCACUGUCUCUGCCCAUCAGCAGACCAACACCAGGACCAGCACCAGCACCCUUGACCCCUAAGUCAGCUACACCAUGAUAGAGCCCCAACCACCAUAGGCCAACAUUAGAUCCAGACCCAGAGGCCAGCCAUGUCAGAAACUGGCCACGCCCAUCGGCAGGCCAACACUAGAUCUGGGACCCCUAGUCCUGUAACCACCCAUCUAUCACAUGGCUCCACCAGAAGAAAAACUAAGUGAAGUGGAGAUAGGUAAUCUAUCCAAUAAAGAGUUUAAGAUGAUAAUUGUAAAGAUGUUCAGAGGCCUUAGGAGAAGAUUGAACAGUGAGAAGUUAGAAAAUUUUAACAAAAAAUUAAUGUAAAGAGAACAUAUAAAAAAGAAUCAAGCAGAGAUGAACAAUACAAUAAUUGAAAUGAACAAUACACUAGAAGGUUGGGCAUAUGUCUGGACAAAACUUUCCUUGAAAAAGACACAUGCACCUGUAUGUUCAUUGCAGCACUAUUCACAAUAGCCAAGACAUGGAAACAACCUAAAUGUCCAUUGACAGAUGAUUGGAUUAAGAUGUGGUAUAUAUACACAAUGGAAUACUACUUAGCCAUAAAAAAGAACAAAAUAAUGCCAUCUUCAGUAACAUGGAUGGAACUAGAGACUCAUAGUAAGUGAAGUGAGUCAGAAAGAGAAAGACGGAGUUGCUAUCAUGGUGCAGCAGAAAUGAACAUGACCAGGAACCUUGAGGUUGUGGGUUCAAUCCCUGGCCUUGCUUAAUGGGGUAAGGAUCUGGUGUUGCUGUGGCUGUGGCGAAGGCCAGAAUCUGUAGCUCUGAUUAGACCCCAUAGCCUGGGAACCUCCAUAUGCUGCAGGUGUGGCCCUAAAAAAAAAAAAAUGGGAAGAAAGAGAAAGACAAAUACCAUAUGAUAUCUGGAAUCUAAUAUACUGCACAAAUGAACCUUUCCACAGAAAAGAAAAUCAUGGAUAUAGAGAACAGACUUGUGGUUGCCAAUGGGAAUUUGGGGUUAAUACAUGCAAACUAUUGCCUUUGGAAUGGAUAAGCAAUGACAUCCUGCUGUAUAGCACUGGCAACUGUAUCUAGUCACUUAUGAUGGAGCAUGAUAAUGUGAGAAGAAAAAAUGUAUACAUGUAUGUGUAACUGGGUCACCUUGCUACACAGUAGAAAAUCGACAGAACACUGUGAAUCAGGUAUAAUGGACAAAGUAAAAAUCAUUAUAAAAUAAAAAAAUAAUAAAAGCAAAAACCUAAAAAAAAAAAAAUACACUAGAAGGAAUCAACAGUAGAUUAGAUGAUAGAGAAGAAUGAAUCAGUGAGCUAGAAGACAUAGUAGUGGAAAUCACUGAAGCUGAGUCGAAAAAGAAAAAA
rnacentral:lncRNA from 1 species